AUGAGAUGUGUGUGCUGCAUAGAAUCACUGGUGCAGACUCCUUUGUGGAGUUCCAGUCAUGGUGAAGGGCAGCCCAAGGACGAAAUCGAAGUGCGCUACAUGUCCGGUGCAUUUAUGAUGGCUGCUGCUGCCUUUACAUCUAGUAUCGAUCGUCGUCAUUGCUCCGACGCCUCAGCAACAACUCCACGAGGCCAGUCACCUCAGAACUGGAUGUCAAGGAGGAAUCCGAGCUGGCCCAUGUCGGAGGUUCGUCAAUUUUCCCAGAGUUGGGCGUGGAUUCUACUGGAAACUUUUUGGUUGAAGUUUUUCGCUAGGACAUGGUGUCGGACAUGA
rnacentral:rRNA from 1 species